UGUAUAAUUUAGCACAGAGUAUAUCAAAAUGUCUACUAGCAGUUAUUUUUUUAAAUUGUUUUAUUGAAAAUUGUUUUUAGGGUAUUCAGUGUUAAUAUAUCAUGUGAUAUGGGCCGUAGUAAACUAUGAGUUUUAUAUAAAUGGUAGUUAUUUUCAAAUAUAUUUUUUUUACAGCUAGUACUUUGAGUUAAAUAAAUAGAUCGUUAGUUGAAUAUCUUUGGACUUAAAUAUUUUAUUUUGACUAGUUUGUAGUUGGGAUAUUGUAUUGUUAAAUGCACCCCCCACCCAUCUAAUAAUGCCGUAAGAUAUUAGCGAUUCUACUAAGGCAAAUUAUACUUGAGGCAUUGGUCAUAGUUAAAGGAUUUUAUUUAAAUUCCUAAAAACAUAAAUCAUUUUUUAUCUCUAGCAAGCCUUUCUGAUCAUUAAAAUUCUGUAAAUAUGUCUUUUUUAUCUAACAUUCUAUCUUCAAAAAUUGAUUGCCCCAAACUAUUGCAUUUUGCAUAA